UACGAAGGGGGCUAGCGUUGUUCGGAUUUACUGGGCGUAAAGCGCACGUAGGCGGAUUGCUAAGUCAGGGGUGAAAUCCUGGAGCUCAACUCCAGAACUGCCUUUGAUACUGGCGAUCUUGAGUCCGGGAGAGGUGAGUGGAACUGCGAGUGUAGAGGUGAAAUUCGUAGAUAUUCGCAAGAACACCAGUGGCGAAGGCGGCUCACUGGCCCGGUACUGACGCUGA
rnacentral:rRNA from 1 species